rnacentral:rRNA from 1 species
AGUGGCGCACUGGUGAGUAACGCGUGGAUAACCUGCCGUAUACCGGGGGAUAACACUUAGAAAUAGGUGCUAAUACCGCAUGAGCGCACAGCUCCGCAUGGGGCGGUGUGAAAAACUCCGGUGGUAUACGAUGGAUCCGCGUCUGAUUAGCCAGUUGGCGGGGUAACGGCCCACCAAAGCGACGAUCAGUAGCCGGCCUGAGAGGGUGAACGGCCACAUUGGGACUGAGACACGGCCCAGACUCCUACGGGAGGCAGCAGUGGGGGAUAUUGGACAAUGGGGGGAACCCUGAUCCAGCGACGCCGCGUGAGUGAAGAAGUAUUUCGGUAUGUAAAGCUCUGUCAGCAGGGAAGAAAGAAAUGACGGUACCUGACCAAGAAGCCCCGGCUAACUACGUGCCAGCAGCCGCGGUAAUACGUAGGGGGCAAGCGUUAUCCGGAAUUACUGGGUGUAAAGGGAGCGUAGACGGUUAAGUAAGUCUGGAGUGAAAGGCCGGGGCCCAACCCCGGGACUGCUCUGGAAACUAUUGAACUUGAGUGCAGGAGAGGUAAGCGGAAUUCCUAGUGUAGCGGUGAAAUGCGUAGAUAUUAGGAGGAACACCAGUGGCGAAGGCGGCUUACUGGACUGUAACUGACGUUG